rnacentral:rRNA from 22 species
CAAUCAAGUGCCUUAAGGGUGUUCGGUGGAUGCCUUGGCGCUGAGAGGCGAUGAAGGACGUGCUACGCUGCGAUAAGCCGUGGGGAGCUGCGAAGAAGCUUUGAUCCAUGGAUUUCCGAAUGGGGAAACCCACCUUCGAUAGCCGGAACUCCAAGACCUUUGUCGAAAGACAUCGGUGUGGGGUUCGAACAGAAAUGUGAGAUGCCUAGACCUUUAGAUUUCGAUCGAAGAGGUUUUGGAUUUCCGGUUAUCAAGAGAAGGUAUGAGACUUCUGAAUACAUAGGAGGUUUCAAGCAAACCCAGGGAACUGAAACAUCUAAGUACCUGGAGGAAAGGACAUCAACAGAG